rnacentral:rRNA from 1 species
GAACGCUGGCGGCGUGCCUAAUACAUGCAAGUCGAGCGAACGGACGAGAAGCUUGCUUCUCUGAUGUUAGCGGCGGACGGGUGAGUAACACGUGGAUAACCUACCUAUAAGACUGGGAUAACUUCGGGAAACCGGAGCUAAUACCGGAUAAUAUUUUGAACCGCAUGGUUCAAAAGUGAAAGACGGUCUUGCUGUCACUUAUAGAUGGAUCCGCGCUGCAUUAGCUAGUUGGUAAGGUAACGGCUUACCAAGGCAACGAUGCAUAGCCGACCUGAGAGGGUGAUCGGCCACACUGGAACUGAGACACGGUCCAGACUCCUACGGGAGGCAGCAGUAGGGAAUCUUCCGCAAAGGGCGAAAGCCUGACGGAGCAACGCCGCGUGAGUGAUGAAGGUCUUCGGAUCGUAAAACUCUGUUAUUAGGGAAGAACAUAUGUGUAAGUAACUGUGCACAUCUUGACGGUACCUAAUCAGAAAGCCACGGCUAACUACGUG